UACGGGGGGAGCAAGCGUUGUUCGGAUUUACUGGGCGUAAAGGGCGCGUAGGCGGUCAGCACAAGUCAGUUGUGAAAUCUCCGGGCUUAACCCGGAAAGGUCAACUGAUACUGUGCGACUAGAGUGCGGAAGGGGCAACUGGAAUUCUCGGUGUAGCGGUGAAAUGCGUAGAUAUCAAGAGGAACACCUGAGGUGAAGACGGGUUGCUGGGCCGACACUGACGCUGAGUGCGCGAAAGCCAGGGGAGCAAACGGG
rnacentral:rRNA from 1 species